CAAUAGCGUAUAUUAAAGUUGUUGCGGUUAAAAAGCUCGUAGUUGGAUUUCUGCUGAGAACGACCGGUCCGCCCUCUGGGUGUGUAUCUGGCUCUUUCUUGGCAUCUUCUUGGUGAACGUUGCUGCACUUGACUGUGUGGAGCGCUACCCAGGACUUUUACUUUGAGGAAAUUAGAGUGUUUCAAGCAGGCAUACGCCUUGAAUACAUUAGCAUGGAAUAAUAAGAUAGGACGUAGGUACUAUUUUGUUGGUUUGCGCACCCACGUAAUGAUUAAUAGAGACAGGCGGGGCUAUUCGUAUUGCAUUGUCAGAGGUGAAAUUCUUGGAUUUCUGCAAGACGAACUACUGCGAAAGCAUUUAGCAAGGAUGUUUNCAUUA
rnacentral:rRNA from 1 species